rnacentral:misc_RNA from 1 species
GAUUUUCUUUAUAAUUCAAGAUAAAUCAUUACAUUAAUGAUAUAACGGUCCCCACUAAGGCGCAAUAAUCCAGCCAAAGAUCAUUCUGGAUUUAACAAAAGCUUAACAGAGAACAAAAAUGAACUUGCAUAUUAUGACUCAUUGGAUACUUGUGGUAUUCACAGUGAUCCACAAGCAAAGAUUAAUAACAAGGCAAAAUAUGUAGUCAUAUGCCCAUGAAAAUAACAAGAAUAUCCUUCCACUUCAUUUUCUCCUUCUGAAUACAGACUUCGGACAGUGCAGUAAUAACCACACCCAUCAACCCUACAGGAUCAUCUUUGCUUUCUGAAAGAUUUAAGGGAUAUCAAACAUUUAAGGGUCCCCACUUUGCUUUCACCUUGAGAGAUUUUUGGACAAAACAUUUCUAUUGAAGUUAAGGUAUAUCAAACAGUUUGGUUCCGACAGUUGUAUGAACCUGUUACAACAUAAAUAACCUGAUGAAGUGUUAUAUGUCAGCAGUUUCAAGGACCAUUUGCACCCUAUAUGGCAAUGGGAGGGUGGGGGGAAAAAGGGAUUGGUAGCAGUUUUGUUGAUCCUGCAUCUACGGGUAAGAUCUCAAUUAGGACACACCGGAUGAAGUGGUCUUCGCCGUUUGAUUUGCAUCUAAUGGUGCUUGUGCUGUGCCUUCCCUGCAGAUUUCCUUCAUUUUGCAAGAAAAUUUGAGGUGUUAAUCCAAACAAGGUCAGGUGGAUUCAUUAAAACUUGAUACUAGAAUUUACCUUUGAAGAUGUGGAGAGAUUGAAGGGUUCGUAAUGAACCUGAACAAGCGGCUCAAAACCAUAGGAAGUUUCUGAGGAGGUGAUGUUUGUUGCUGAAGGCAGAACAAUUGGCUGAUUUGAUGCAGUGCGCCUGUUGGGAAGACUAAGAGCAGUUCGCGCUAAGUUUUCAUCAUUCUCGGAAAAUGUACCUGCUGCUGCAUUGGCAUUUAACAGUCCACUUCCUUCAUCAAAGUUCAAUCCUGUCAUGGGCAGUUGCAUAGGCUGUCGAACUCCUGGUAAGCACAUGGGAUGCAAACUCAAUCCAUUUCUCAUUGUUAACAUCUGUACUUGAAGCUGAAGUUGCUUCAGGUAUUCAAUUGCCUCAUCCAGCAUUGAAGCCUUAUCGGUCUUGUUAGAAUUUGGAAUAAGAUUCUGUAACGCCUUCAUUUUCUCAUUAAUCCUGCUCCUUCUCCUCUUUUCAGAUAAGUUAUGAACCUCUGCAGCUCUGCUCCUCUUCGAGGAGCUUCUAGGCCGUACUGUCUCCAAUGGCACCUCUGAUACAUCUGCACCCUUCUCGCUAUCGCAACUUAGGUCACCUAGAUCAUUCUCCUCAGAGAACCCCCUCCUUGAAAUAACCGAAGAGACAGCAUUUUCCGCAAUCUCUUUGGCUAAAUAAACACCGGGAUCAGAGAAAUUGAUGCAGGAGCUGCCGCCGUCGGCUCGGCAAUCUUGGGAACGGCCGAACAACAAUUCAUCUGGGGGUGAAGUCUCCCCCGGCGGCGGCGGCGGGGGAGGAAGAGAAGAGAGAGCAUGGUGCAUGAAUUUAGAAGAAGUGGCUGAGGAGGAUGAGGAAUUGUGAAGGAAUUGGUGAAGGAAGGAGGAGAUUUCUUCAGGCUCCGGAGGGGGAGGGGGAGAAGGAGAAGUUCCGUAUAGAUCAGCCAUGGAUAAAUAAAUCUGAACAAGUAAAAGAAGAUAUAGCGAAAGCAACGAUAGAUUCUUGCUUGAGUCUGGUUUCAGUGCAAAACCGCCACUGUGUUCUCUUUUUCUGUGUUUGUUUGCUUUUGUUGUCUUUGGGGAAAUGGAUUAAUGGCUAAUGAAGCUUUUUU